UACAGAGGGGGCAAGCGUUGUUCGGAAUUACUGGGCGUAAAGGGCGCGUAGGCGGCCUUCUAAGUCGAACGUGAAAUCCCCGGGCUCAACCCGGGAACUGCGUCCGAUACUGGAAGGCUUGAAUCCGGGAGAGGGAUGCGGAAUUCCAGGUGUAGCGGUGAAAUGCGUAGAUAUCUGGAGGAACACCGGUGGCGAAGGCGGCUCUCUGGGACGGUACUGACGCUGAGACGCGAAAGCGUGGGGAGCGAACAGGA
rnacentral:rRNA from 1 species